UUACCAGUACACUAGCUACAUUGUAACAUGCGAACAAGAAUGUGGUUGCCUUGUCACUUUAUAAACCAUGAUCCCAUGUCCUGAUAUGACCAAAGAGGCCAAUACCGAGUAGCAACAAACCACUGAAGAAUCGAGUCCCUUGAACACCCUGUUCGUCAAUACCAACCUGAGACGCAACGUCACCUACCGCUUCAUCCAUUAAGCAACCAAUUCGCGAAGCAUUCAUGUUGAUCCACACAGUUCACUGGAGAAAGUAUAACGCCGUAAUUCCCAACGCCUCACAAUCUCAACUACAUAUGAGCAUCGCACAUACACGCAACUUGUUGGAAACAUAUAGACUACCUAUCUGUCAUGAGUACUGAGUAGGCAUGUACUGAUGAGAGCACUUCUUUUUUAAGCAACACUAAACAAAGCACCUGAUCACUACCACUCUUGUUUUUGAGUCUAACCUGAUCACUACCACUUGACAACAUGCAGUGCCGAGUGGGCCGAGAUUUAUAGAGUUGUGCCCAGAGCCAUGCCAUGACAUGCCACAGUCACGUGGUUGGCUCGAAGCCCUUUUAUUUUUCUUUUAAUAACCAUGCCAUGUGGGUUGGUCUUGUCAAUUACCCAUGUUAGUUUCCAGCACCUCCCACUCAAAAAAUCAAAAAAAGUUCGAACACCAGUACACAAAUAGCGUGUCACACACUGUCACUAGCCCAUCUGCGGCGAGGCAUGACAUCACACACACUCAUUAGUCAUGCACGCCAUGUGUUGUCAAAAUGGCUAAAAAACUAAAUCAGUUCCGUGUUGGUUUUGGUUCCUUUAGGUCUAUCACAUUUCAUACCAUCCCUAUUCAAACCAAUAAUACUAGUCUCAAGGGCAUAUGCAAAAGCUGAGACAUAUUCCAAAAACGCUUGUACUAAUAGAAGAAUGGUUAAAUACAAUCUUAAUUGAUGGCGCGCAAAAUUUCAUCCACGUCAUCACUAGUUUUCGAAAUAGUGGUGGCAUGACCGUAAUUAAUACCUCACCACUAUCCAUUACCGGUGGCGUUUCCAUAUUCUCCCACACCACUGAAGUGUUGGCCCUGUUGCUUGUCAACUCGCCACCAUAAGUGUUGCCGUGUGAGAUAGUUGACACACUAGAAGAAUUAGGGCUAGUUGUGGUGUGGGCCAGAUGAACACGUCACAAGUUUUUUUUCCAGCAAUAUCUAGGGUCUUUUGGGGGGCCCAAGUUACUUAUGGUGUGGCAUGUUAGGGCCGCACCACAACCUAUGUUGUUUUUUCACCUACCUAAGUAAAACAAAAACUACCUCCAUGCUUCCUAUCUCAUUCACCCUGUGCUUCCCACUAGCGACCAGCCACCGAACCUUGUCGCUCGUCGCCAUCGCCAGACCUCAACGCUUGUCGACACACCGCCAAAGAGAGUCGUCACAACAAGAAGUUUGAUCCCCCCUUCUCUCGCACCUCCCUCGUCCAGCGUCGUCGGACCUCGCCUCCCCUCGUGCCACACUGCCGGAGCGAGUCGCUAAGGUCUUUGUAGUGGUCAUAUGGUGAUGGUAGAAUUUUUUAGUGUCCAUAUGAGAUGAUAUGGUUAUGGUAGAAAUUUGUAGUGUACAAUUUGUGUAGUAUGUAAUGAUUGAUUGAUAUAUAUGCCAUCAUGGAUGAUAUGCUCAUGGAUUGAUUGAUUGAUAUGUUUAGUGUAGAAUCCGAUUAAUAUGCUUAGUGUAGAAUCUCUUUGUAUUAGUAAUCCGAUUGAUAUGCUCUGUGUGGAUUGAUAAUUUUGUAUAUGUUGGUGAAUAUGCACUCGUAUGCUUGAUAACUUUUUGCCCCCGGAUGCUAGUAAUUUUGUUUUGUUGGGGUAUGCAUAUAGUUAUAUGCUAUUUUAGUAAUUUUGUAUAUCACUAGUAGAAAACCGGGCUUUGGUCCACUUGAAGAAAUCCCAUUAGUCCCGGUUCACCCAUGAACCAGGACCUAUGGUGUCAUUGGUCCUGGCUCGUGAGGCCAGGGCGCCAGGCGGGCAUCAUGGGCCAUUGGUCCCGGUUCGUGUCAAUCCUUCGGUCCCGGUUCCAGGCACGAACCGGGACCAAUAGGCAGGGACCGUUUGUAUCCCCCUUUAGUCCCGGUUGGUGGGUGCUACUGCAACAAAAGACCUUCCAACGGCGCCAGAAACACGUGCUGACUGGAGACUGUUCUUUUCUUGAUUCUCCUCAGCAACGGCACCAGGAAUCCUUCUGCUACGGCUACGCCUUUAGGGACUUCCUAGGCAAAUAUGCAAAGGAUUUCCCCGUGGCCUUGGAGCCUUGCAUUGGUGUUCCCUCGAAGCGGAAAGGAUGAUGUAGCGCAGCGGUGGUAAGUAUUUCCCUCAGUUUUGAGAACCAAGGUAUCGAUCUAGUGAAGGAGUAUCACAAGUGCCUGCACAAACACAAAGAACCUGCUCCCAACGCUAUGAAGGGGUUGUCAAUCCCUUAUAGAUUGUUCGCAAAGUAAGAUCUGAAAGCAACAAAGUAACAAAGCAAAGUAAAAGCGGAGGUGUAAACGAUAGAUAUGAAUAGACCCGGGGGCCGUAGUGUUUACUAGUGACUUCUCUCAUGAAAGCAAGUAGACGGUGGGUGAGCAAAUUACUGUCGAGCAAUUGACAGAACCGCGCAAAGUCGUGAUGAUAUCUAUGGCAAUGAUUAUAUUUAUAGGCAUCACGUCCAAAACAAGCAGACCGAUACUUUCUGCAUCUACUACUAUUACUCCACAUGUCGACCGCUAUCCAGCAUGCAUCUAGUGUAUUAAGUCCAAAAGAAAAGAGUGACGCCUUAAGCAAGAUGACAUGAUGUAGAUGGACAAUCUCAUAUCAAUGACAAAGCCCACCUUGUUACCCUUGAUGGCAACCACUCAAUGUGUGCCUUGCUGCCCCUACUGUCACUGGGAAAGGUCACCACAUGGUAAGAACCCAAAACCAAGCACUUCUCCCAUUGCAAGAAUCAUAGAUCUAGUUGGCCAAACAAAACUCAAGACUCGGAGAGACUUACAAGGAUAUCAAAUCAUGCAUAUAAGAAAUCAGCAAAGACUCAAAUAUAUAUCAUAGAUAACCUGAUCACAAAUCCACAAUUCAUCGGAUCUCGACAAACACACCGCCAAAGAAGAUUACAUCGGAUAGAUCUCCAUGAAGAUCAUGGAGAACUUUGUAUUGAAGAUCCAAGAGAGAGAAGAAGCCAUCAGCUACUAACUACGGACCCGUAGGUCUGAAGUGAACUACUCACGAGUCAUUGGAGGGGCGAUGAUGAUGAAGAAGAAGCCCUCCAACUCCAAAGUCCCCUCCGGCAGGGUGCCGGGAAGGGUCUCCAGAUGAUAUCUCGCGGAAACGGAAGCUUGCGGCGACGGAAAAGUAUUUUCGGGGCUCCCUUGAUUUUUUUCUGAUUUUUAGGGAAUAUAUAGGCAGAAGAUCUAGGUCAGGGGGCGCUAGGGAGGCCACAAGCCUCCCCACCGUCCCCUCCCCCGUGGUGGCGGAGUGGGGGCUUGUGGGCUCCCUAGAGCCCUCCUGGCUUGGCCCACAGGCCCCCUGAUCUUCUUCCGUUUGGGAAAAAAUCAUUUCGGGGAUUUUAUUCCGUUUGGACUCCGUUCCAAAAUUAGAUCUGAAAAGAGCCAAAAACACACAAAAAACAGGAACUGGCACUUGGCAGUGAAUUAAUAAGUUAGUCCCAAAAAAGAUAUAAAAGAUACAUAAAACAUCCAAAGAUGACAAGAUAACAACGUAAAACCAUCAAAAAUUAUAGAUACGUUUGAGACAUAUCAGUGGGUUAAACCGGGACCAGGUGGACCGUUCGUAUCCCCCUUUAGUCCCGGUUAGUAGAGCAAAUCGGGACGAAGUGGUGGUGGCAACCGUUCGUAUCACCCUUUAAUCCCGGUUGGUGGCUCAAGGCGGGACUAAAGGCCCAAACAGUUUGUAUCCCGCUUCAUAAAAGCACAACCGAAUCAGAGUUUGUCGCCAUUUCUCUCUUCUUCUCCUCUCUCGCUCUCUUCUUCCCCUCUCUUCUUCCCUUCUCUUCUUCCACCAUGCCAACUCGCUUCGCAGAGGUGCUCGCACAUGGAAAUAACAAGCUCGAUGUCUUGUACACGAACGAGAGCAGGGAGGUGCCGCAUUUUCUUAGACAGUUGAAGGAACGGUGGCUUGAUGGCGCGGUGGAUCAUGAGAAGUUCUUGGGCCGGGGCUUGAUCUGGAGUACACGACCGAUCAACGAUGUGUUGUCGUCAACCAACUAUGUUUCAAACAUCAUGUCUUG
rnacentral:lncRNA from 1 species